UGGGGAAUAUUGCACAAUGGGGGAAGACCCUGAUGCAGCGACGCCGCGUGAGCGAAGAAGUAUUUCGGUAUGUAAAGCUCUAUCAGCAGGGAAGAAAUAGGACGGUACCUGACUAAGAAGCACCGGCUAAAUACGUGCCAGCAGCCGCGGUAAUACGUAUGGUGCAAGCGUUAUCCGGAUUUACUGGGUGUAAAGGGAGCGUAGACGGUUGUGUAAGUCUGAUGUGAAAGCCCGGGGCUCAACCCCGGGACUGCAUUGGAAACUAUGUAACUAGAGUGUC
rnacentral:rRNA from 1 species